AAGGGAUCUGAUGGUUUCCCUGGUGACUCGGGGGACUCUGGACCUGCAGGCCCACCAGGAGUGAAGGGAUCGACAGGCCGAGCGGGCAGAGCAGGACCCCCGGGACCAGGCGGAGAGCCAGGACCAAAGGUAGUCACCACCACGCCACAGGAACCAGCCACCAACACAUCCUCCCCUCUGUCCUGAUUAAACCUUGUUUUUGUUCCUUUGAAGGGCGACACGGGGAACCCUGGCUACCCAGGAGAGCCCGGAGACAAGGGGCCCGCGGUACGUUCAAAUAGUCUCACUCAUCCACAGUGACUCAGUGUGGCUGACCAGUGAGAAGCAGCUUCUGCUGGGGACCCGGGCUGACCGCUUGGUCUGACCAUACUGUGUCUGAUCUCCUCUCUCCUCUCCCCCUGCAGGGCAAAGGCGGAGCCCUGGGCCUGAAGGGAGAAACUGGCAGGAGAGGGGACAGCGGUGUGAAGGGGGCACCUGGACUGGGGGGACUCAAGGGUGACAAG
ensembl:lncRNA